rnacentral:rRNA from 1 species
GACAGAGGAGCCAAGCGUUGUCCGGACUGACUGGGCGUAAAGCGCACGCAGGCGGCGCUGCGCGUGGGGUGUGAAAGCUCUUGGCUUAACUGAGAGAGGCCAUCCCAUACGGCAGUGCUCGAGCGGUGCAGAGGUCCGCGGAAUUGCCGGUGUAGUGGUGAAAUGCGUAGAUAUCGAGAGGAACACCAGUGGCGAAGGCGAGUCCCUGGACAACACCUGACACUGAGGCACGAAGGCUAGGGGAGCAAACGGG